rnacentral:lncRNA from 1 species
UUGUCUUCAUCCUCAACCCUAGGUCAACUGGCGCUCUUGUGUUUAAUAUUUGAUUUGCAGACCAAAACGCCCCUAGCUCAUAAGUAUUUUUUGUACAAGACUGAUGUUAUGACACCCUAGUGUGUGUGUCACAACAUCGAAGCCAGUGUGCUCGUACUCAGGGUAACUUUGGGGUAUGUCUCGACAUCUCUUGGUGGUGUCACGCC